GUCAGUCAUAAAAAAUUUAACAUAAAAUGAAACAGAUAUAUAACAUGUGUAAAUAUUAAAAAUAUAUGCAUAGAUAAUUUGUUAGCUAAUUUAGUAUAAAAUAUGCUUCCUCGAUACAUGAAGUAAGUAAUCUUCAUAAUGUAAGAAGUCUGAUACUAGUAAUUGACUUUUGGUAAUGUAGGGAAUACACAGAUGUGCAUUACAAAAAUUUAUAAAUUUUAUAAAAUACUAAGGUUUUCUUACCCAGGAAUAGAUUACCAUAACUGAUCUGACAAAACUUUCAAGAAAUUUUGUGUCUUCAAUACUGUUCAAACUUUGUAGUUUAUUUGGCCUUUUAACUUUUUUUAUUUCAGGGUCACUGAUGAGUCUUGUAGACAAAACAUGCAUCUGACAUACAAAAUUUUUGAACCCUGCUAUUUAUGAUGAAUUUAUUGUAAUAGCUCUAAAACUAAAAACACUCUAGCACCUUUCUUAAAAAAAAAAAAGAACAAAAAAGAACAAAACUCUUUUCAAGCCUUGAAUAUAGCCAAUAAUAGCCUUCUUUGCUGUUUGAUUGAGUUGAUUCACUUUAUUUGUCAGUACACAAAAAGAAAACAUAGCAAAUUUUUGCAAUGUUUUCUUACUACGAAAACUUAGGAUUCACUCAAUAAAAAUUUGCAUGAAACCCUAAGAGUGUCUGUCUGAAAGUUGUUACAAAUUGUAGAUUACAGAUACCAACAUGUUAUUUACAUAUGCUUGUAAUUGACAAUGAGUUUGGAAUCUGUAAGGACUGGUAAGAAAAAUCUCUGUAUGCAAAGGGGUCAUUAUAGUUAAUAUUUUACUAGUUAUUCUCAUCUCAAAAUUAUAAAAAAAGAACAUUGUGUAUGAUUUCCAAUAAGACAACUCUCCGUAAGAGACCAAAUGAAAUUUACAACUGCAUUAAACAGUUGCCAAAGGACAGAAAACAAAUCACAAUGAUUAAUUUUAAUUUUUUCAAUUUUAUCUUAUUACUACAAAUACAAUUAUGCAAGUUAUACGUAUGGUGGUGUAAAAAUCUAGUGUUUACUUCCUUUAGAUUUAUUUGCAGAGAAAAAAAAUACCCGAUGUCACAUAUGAGAAGAUUUUGAAUCAACAUUUGAAAAUUUUGGUUUUAGCAUUUCUGUCCUAUUCUAAUAACUUGACAUCAACUAAUUUAAAAAUCAAUUCUUUGACUUCCAUUAUUUUUUUUUUCAAUAUUGAGGUAUUUUACAAUUGUAAAAAGAACAGUGUUUUAGUUUUAUGAACACAUGAGAGGUUGAUUUUUAGCACCAUGAGAUAAGAUAAAUAAUAAAUAUUAGAUUAUUUUACAGAAAUACCAAAGGAAAAUUAAUUGAAGAAAAACAGACACAAUGUCAAAGAAAACUCCUGAAAUUACAAAAACAUCAGUCUAUUCAUCACACUGUGCAAACUCAGGAAAAUUUCACUUGACUAAUCUCUAAGAGCCAGUUCCCAUCUGUAUUGUCAUGUAAAAUUCAUCUGCCUUCUGAAAUUAUAAAUUUGGAUUUUUUUUUUUGCUCUUGGCUAAAGGCAAAGGGAAUUUAACCUAUUUCUCAUGUACCAGUUCAUACUAUGAGAAAUGCAUGUACCAAGAAAACACAAAAAAAUCAAAGUAAAACAAGUUGAAGUAAAAAAGAAUUAAAAACAUUGAAAAAUAAAGGAAGAUAAUUGUGUUCUUUAGUCAUCUGCUGUAAGGCUAUAUUGUUUACCAUUGUUUUUCAGCAAUAUUAAGGAUUCAUGGCUCUCAAUUAACAUUUCAGAUCCUAUUCAUUGAUAUUAUUAACAGCGGCGAUUUAUCUGAUCCCAACAAUUAUAGACCUAUCGUGCUUGUGAGUGUCUAUAUCAAAACUUUUUACAAGUAUACUUACUGACCGGUUAUUAUC
rnacentral:lncRNA from 1 species